rnacentral:rRNA from 1 species
UACGUAGGGACCAAGCGUUGUCCGGAUUUAUUGGGCGUAAAGAGCUCGUAGGCGGUUAUCCAAGUCGGAUGUGAAAGCUCAGGGCUCAACCCUGAGAUGCCAUUCGAUACGGGAUAGCUAGAGGUAGGUAGGGGAAAGUGGAAUUCCUGGUGUAGCGGUGAAAUGCGCAGAUAUCAGGAGGAACACCGGUGGCGAAGGCGGCUUUCUGGGCCUUACCUGACGCUGAGGAGCGAAGGCUGGGGGAGCAAACGGG